rnacentral:rRNA from 1 species
CCUUGCGGAGCGAUUUACACAUGCAAGUCGAACGGGACAGGGGCGCAAUCCCUGAGUAAAGUGCCGUACAGGUGAGUAACACGUGGGAAAUUUACCUCUGGGUGGUGAAUAACUCUGGGAAACCGGAGCUAAUACCGCAUAAGCCCGCAAGGGGAAAGGCGAUAGUCGCCGAUAGAGGAGCCCGGGCCGAUUAGCUUGUUGGUGGCUCUCAGUCCCACCCAGGCUAAGCAGGUAGCCGGCCUGAGACGGCACACGUGCCGCACUGGCACUGAAACACGGGGCAGACUCCUACGGGAGGCAGGAAGUGGGGAAUAGCACAUCGGGGGACACCGGGUGCAGCGACGCAGCGUGGGGCGAUGAAGCCAUUCGGGGAGUAAAGCUUCUUUCGGCAGGGUCGAUGCGACGGGGACCUGCAGAAGAAGCUGCGGCGACAACGUGCCAGCAGCCGCGGCAAUACGUAGGCAGCGAGCGUUGUUCGGGGUUGCUGGGCGUAAAGCGUGCGUAGACGGUGGUCAAAGUCUGGUGUGAAAUCUCCUGGCUUAACUCGGAGGGUGCGCCGGAAACUGGGCCGCUUAAGUGUGGGAAAGGUAAGCGGAAUUCACGGUGUACGGUGAAACUGCGUAGAUAUCGGGAGAAAC